ensembl:snoRNA
ACCCCCUGGCAAUGGGCAAAGAGGCACCUCAUUGGUGGUGUUGUUCUUAUAUCAGUCAGGGGCAGAGCAGAUGUCCUUUGUUCAUCCUAGCUUGAUGCCUGGGUUGGUGGCCAAAGCUGUUUCAUGCCUAGGACACAAAA